rnacentral:lncRNA from 1 species
GGAUCUUGUAAAUGAGAAAAUUCAAGGAAGGUUCUAUCCUUUUUAAACGAAUCAAUCUUUUGUGUGUAUAGUAUGCAUUUACACCAUGAAAAUUAUGACCAAGGGAAGUAACUGAGGUCACAAAUUAAUAGUAUUCCAACACAAUUUGACAGGUUUAUUGAUACAAAGAAUAUCCCAUUAUCAUAGUCGAUGCUAUGUAAAAUUAUGCAUAAGUAUUAUUAGAUCUUAUGCUUGAAGCUUGAAGUCCACCUUGUUAUUAUUUGUGAUAAGGAGGAGAGCUGUGUGGCAGCAAAUUAACCUUAAAUUUGGCUGCUUAGAGGUUUUAUAACUUCUAUUUGAAGUGCCUUCUGCAAAACAACUUUGGAGUUUGGUGUUUAUGCCCCAGAAGUGCUUCCUCCAGAUUAGAAAACAGGCAUAGUACUACAUAACGGUGUUAGAACUUGGCUUUAGAUGGUUCAGGUAACAGUGCAGGAACCAUUGUCUGAGAAAAGGAGUAAGAUGAAAAUACAUUUCGUUUGACUUCACAGAUAUGAU